GCACUGCAGAGGAAUCCCAAAAUAGGACGAAACGGUCGUCCAGUGC
rnacentral:hammerhead_ribozyme from 1 species